GCCUGGGUGGCUCAGUUGGUUGAGUGUCCGACUUUGGCUCAGGUCAUGAUCGCACAGUUCAUGGGUUUGAACCCCAUGUCGGGCU
rfam:Felis catus isolate Cinnamon breed Abyssinian chromosome C1, whole genome shotgun sequence.